rnacentral:rRNA from 1 species
GACGAACGCUGGCGGCGUGCCUAAUACAUGCAAGUCGAGCGGACUUGACAGAGCUUGCUCUGUUCAAGUUAGCGGCGGACGGGUGAGUAACACGUGGGCAACCUGCCCUGCAGAUUGGGAUAACUCCGGGAAACCGGGGCUAAUACCGAAUAACAUUGGAAACCUCAUGGUUUCCGUUUUAAAAGGCGGCUUCGGCUGUCACUGCAGGAUGGGCCCGCGGCGCAUUAGCUAGUUGGUGAGGUAACGGCUCACCAAGGCGACGAUGCGUAGCCGACCUGAGAGGGUGAUCGGCCACACUGGGACUGAGACACGGCCCAGACUCCUACGGGAGGCAGCAGUAGGGAAUCUUCCGCAAUGGACGAAAGUCUGACGGAGCAACGCCGCGUGAGUGAAGAAGGUUUUCGGAUCGUAAAACUCUGUUGUCAGGGAAGAACAAGUACGGGAGUAACUGCCCGUACCUUGACGGUACCUGGCCAGAAAGCCACGGCUAACUACGUG